CAAUAAGCGGAGGAAAAGAAACCAACAGGGAUUGCCCUAGUAACGGCGAGUGAAGCGGCAACAGCUCAAAUUUGAAAUCUGGCGCAAGCCCGAGUUGUAAUUUGUAGAGGAUGCUUCUGGGUAGCGACCGAUCUAAGUUCCUUGGAACAGGACGUCAUAGAGGGUGAGAAUCCCGUAUGUGACCGGCCCGCACCCUUUACGUAGCUCCUUCGACGAGUCGAGUUGUUUGGGAAUGCAGCUCUAAAUGGGAGGUAAAUUUCUUCUAAAGCUAAAUACCGGCCAGAGACCGAUAGCGCACAAGUAGAGUGAUCGAAAGAUGAAAAGUACUUUGGAAAGAGAGUUAAAAAGCACGUGAAAUUGUUGAAAGGGAAGCGCCUGCAACCAGACUUCGCGGCAGUGUUCCGCCGGUCUUCUGACCGGUUCAUUCUCUGUCGCGAGGCCAUCAUCGUCUGGGCCCGCCGGAUAAGACCUUAGGAAUGUAGCUCACCUUCGGGGGAGUGUUAUAGCCUAGGGUGAUGCGGCGAGGCUCGGGCGAGGUCCGCGCUUCGGCAAGGAUGAUGGCGUAAUGGUUGUCGGCGGCCCGUCUUGAAACACGGACCAAGGAGUCUAACAUCUAUGCGAGUGUUCGGGUGUCAAACCCCUACGCGUAAUGAAAGUGAACGGAGGUGGGAACCGCAAGGUGCACCAUCGACCGAUCCUGAUGUCCUCGGAUGGAUUUGAGUAAGAGCAUAGCUGUUGGGACCCGAAAGAUGGUGAACUAUGCCUGAAUAGGGUGAAGCCAGAGGAAACUCUGGUGGAGGCUCGCAGCGGUUCUGACGUGCAAAUCGAUCGUCAAAUUUGGGUAUAGGGGCGAAAGACUAAUCGAACCAU
rnacentral:rRNA from 1 species